UACGAGUGCCCCAAGCGUUAUCCGGAAUCAUUGGGCGUAAAGGGUGUGUAGGCGGUUAUAUUAGUCUUCUGUUAAAGCUCCCGGCUCAACCGGGAAAAUGCAGAAGAAACGGUAUGACUAGAGGAUGCGAGAGGUGAAUGGAACUCAUAGUGUAGGGGUGAAAUCCGUUGAUAUUAUGGGGAACACCAAAUGCGAAGGCAAUUCACUGGCGCACUCCUGACGCUGAAACACGAAAGCGUGGGUAGCGAAUGGG
rnacentral:rRNA from 1 species